rnacentral:rRNA from 1 species
AGGAUCUACCUAGUAGUACGGAAUAAUUGUUGGAAACGGCAACUAAUACCGUAUACGCCCCACGGGGGAAAAAUUUAUUGCUAUUAGAUGAGCCUAUAUUAGAUUAGCUUGUUGGUAGGGUAAUAGCUUACCAAGGCAAUGAUCUAUAGCUGAUCUGAGAGGAUGAUCAGCCACACUGGAACUGAGAUACGGUCCAGACUCCUACGGGAGGCAGCAGUGGGGAAUAUUGGACAAUGGGCGAAAGCCUGAUCCAGCUAUGCCGCAUGAGUGAAGAAGGCCUUUGGGUUGUAAAGCUCUUUUAGUGAGGAAGAUAAUGACGGUACUCACAGAAGAAGUCCUGGCUAACUCCGUGCCAGCAGCCGCGGUAAUACGGAGAGGGCUAGCGUUAUUCGGAAUUAUUGGGCGUAAAGGGUGCGUAGGCUGACUAAUAAGUUAAAAGUGAAAUCCCGAGGCUUAACCUUGGAAUUGCUUUUAAAACUGUUAAUCUAGAGAUUGAAAGAGGAUAGAGGAAUUCCUAGUGUAGAGGUAAAAUUCGUAAAUAUUAGGAGGAACACCAGUGGCGAAGGCGUCUAUCUGGUUCAAAUCUGACGCUGAGGCGCGAAGGCGUGGGGAGCAAACAGGAUUAGAUACCCUGGUAGUCCACGCUGUAAACGAUGAAUGUUAAAUAUGGGAAAUUUAUUUUCUGUAUUACAGCUAACGCGUUAAACAUUCCGCCUGGGGACUACGGUCGCAAGAUUAAAACUCAAAGGAAUUGACGGGGACCCGCACAAGCGGUGGAGCAUGUGGUUUAAUUCGAUGCAACGCGAAAAACCUUACCACUCCUUGACAUGAAA